rnacentral:rRNA from 1 species
GACGGAGGGGGCUAGCGUUGUUCGGAAUUACUGGGCGUAAAGCGCACGUAGGCGGCUUUGCAAGUUAGAGGUGAAAGCCCGGGGCUCAACUCCGGAAUUGCCUUUAAAACUGCAUCGCUAGAAUUGUGGAGAGGUAAGUGGAAUUCCGAGUGUAGAGGUGAAAUUCGUAGAUAUUGGGAAGAACACCGGUGGCGAAGGCGGCAACCUGGUCCUUGACUGACGCUGAGGCGCGAAAGCGUGGGGAGCAAACAGG